rnacentral:misc_RNA from 1 species
UCUCCGUUGGUGAACCAGCGGAGGGAUCAUUGCUGGAAGCGUCUCACGGCGCACCCAGAUACCCUUUGUGAACCAUACCUCUCUGUUGCCUCGGCGGGCCUCUGAGAUUCGUCUCACGUCCGCCGGCGGCCCAUUAAACUCUGUUACUUUUAAGCAAUCUGAGUCUUUUAUAAAAUAAAGUCAAAACUUUCAACAACGGAUCUCUUGGUUCUGGCAUCGAUGAAGAACGCAGC